rnacentral:rRNA from 1 species
CCUACGGGAGGCUGCAGUAGGGAAUUUUCGUCAAUGGGCGCAAGCCUGAACGAGCAAUGCCGCGUGAACGAGGAAGGUCUUCGGAUCGUAAAGUUCUGUUGAAGGGGAAAAAGAGCGGAGAGAGGAAAUGCUUUCUGAUUGAUAUUACCCUUCGAGGAAGUCACGGCUAACUACGUGCCAGCAGCCGCGGUAAUACGUAGGUGGCGAGCGUUAUCCGGAAUGAUUGGGCGUAAAGGGUGCGUAGGCGGCCUGCUAAGUCUGGAGUGAAAGGUACCGGCUCAACCGGUACAGGCUCUGGAAACUGGCGGGCUAGAGAGCAGGAGAGGAUAGUGGAAUUCCAGGUGUAGGAGUGAAAUCCGUAGAGAUCUGGAGGAACAUCAGUGGCGAAGGCGACUAUCUGGCACAUAACUGACGCUGAGGAGCGAAAGCGUGGGUAGCAAACAGGAUUAGAUACCCCUGUAGUC